CGGUCUAUUUCCCUACGAGAACUAUAACAUCAUAACAGAUAGAGCCCAAUCUAUGACUACGAUCCAGAUAUCCCCGAAAAAAUAUUUCUCAAUCUAUAUCUCCUCGAAUCAAUAUUUUUCAUCUAUUUCUCCAUAAAUCUGAUUUAAUCGGUUUACAAACUAAACCGGAUAGAAAACCACUCUAACCCAACAUGACUGAUUUGAAAAACCCAAUUGACCAAAAAUUUGAUCCAUUCUAAAACCUGUUGAACGAGAAAUUGAUGUCUGCAACAUCCGUACCAUCAAUGGCAAAAUUUCUCACAAAAACAAAACUUUACUCUCCUCCAUCUUGGGUUUCCCAUCUUAUUAUGAAUCAUUCCCACACGUACAUUCAUUUCAGUUUUUCUAUGUUUCAAUUCUUCAUUUCUUUCAGUGAUCAUCACCUUUCUCUUUUUCUUCUUCUACAUCUUCAGCUUCCUACUCUGAUACAUCGGUCUUCCUAAUGCCACUAGUUCUAGAAAAGGUGAUAGAACCGGAUUUAUGAUUCUUAUCACAAGCGAAUGAUUUCACCGGCAUGGAAUUGAGUGGAAACAAAGUCUAAAAACUCGAAUUGUUUAUGGCGGAUGAUAGAUACGUCGUCGUUUUGUUAAACCAUCA